rnacentral:tRNA from 1 species
GCCUGGCUGGCUCAAUCAGGGGAGCAUGAGACUUUUGAUCUCAGGGUUGUGGGUUCGAGCCCCAUGUUGAGUA